AUGUCACGGGAUCCCAUGAAGGACAGAGUCCUCCUGGCCAAGGCACAAACUGAAAUCCUGCCGGGGCCGUCUCUCAAAAUGAAACUCCAAGGUCCCCAGAAGCCAGAGGAUAUCAGGAGAGGACCGGCUUUCUUGAGCAACACAAAUGGAGACAGACCAAAACCCCAGAUGGAACGCCUCGUCCAUCAGCUCCAACCUCAACCCCAACCCAAACGGGAGGUUCAGGUCAAAAUCCUGGCCCGACCCAGUAUUCCUGAGGGGGUCAGUUGGUGGCAGAUAUUUGCUCUUGCACUGAUGACAGCAGCACUGAUCCUGUUCUUCACGCUGAUGGGUUUAAUUUAUGUUUACAUGAUGAAGGCAGAGAGGAUGAACACCUCAAUUCGACGUCUGCAACGCAUGGAGAUGCAGCUGAAGGUGGCUGUAAGGCAGCAGGCAGGAAACUCAGUCUUGACUUGUAAACCCUGCAAAGACAAUUGGUUGCAGUGGGGAGACAACUGUUACCUGGGCACUCAUGAGCCGAUGACCUGGAAUGAGUGCAUAGACCAUUGUGAGAUCUAUGGAGCCAGCUUUCUGAUCGGGGGAACGUCAGGAGAAAUGGAAUUCCUGAUUUUGCAGGCUCGUAAGUGGCUUGCCAGCAAGAGCACGCGGAGCAUAAUCCAAGGUUACUGGGUUGGUUUGAUGUACAACGGGACUGAGAAAAUCUGGAGCUGGGCCAACGGAGCACAUCUCCACCUCAAUCUGCGCGAAAUCGAAACACGGCCUCCUUCCUUUUUGCACGCGUGUGUCUUAUUUACUCACCCUGAUGAUGUCAUUACUAAGCACUGCUCCUCCUUGAACUAUUGCUUGUGCAAGAGAAGCACCUAAUGAGCCAAGCAAUGCUGUGUCAAGAUGCCACUCAAGAUUCUUGUAAUUCCCACACACACACACACACCCUGCGAACAUCCCCUCUUCCACUCACAUGAUGGCCCCUUUUGCCUCCGUGGCCAUCUCUGCAAACACAUAAUAAAAUGAUGCUUCUUCUUUUAUCA
rnacentral:lncRNA from 1 species